ACCCACGCAGACCCCACGCCCCCACUCCCCACCGUUCCAAUCCCUUCUCUCCCGCACCCGCACCCGCUCGCCAAACCCUUAGCCGCCGCCCCCGCCCCCGGCCCCGCACCAUGGCCAUCGACGGCGAGGAGCCCGAAUCACCACGCCUCCCUGUCCCCCGCUACGGCCACAGCGGGCCUUCCGGAUCCGCGCCAUCGACGAGCUGGAUCCGCGCCUGCUCGCGCCGCCGCCGUCUCCCCGAUCCAAAUCGACGCCACCACCCUCUCAUCCUCAUGCGCCGAGCGCCGCCACCACCCUCUUGUUGCCGCCACCUCCUCCUUCCUCCAGCACCACCUCUCCAACCCCAGCAACGAGUUCGUGCUCAUCUCCGACCCCGCCACCGGCCUCCAUUGCUUUCACUCGAAGGAGGUCGUCGGAACCACGACGACCGGCCGGCCCGUGUGUGAGGAGACGAGUGCAACACAUGAUCCCACCGGAACAAGGCCAGAUCGCCAGCGCCUCCCCGCUCGAUCCCCUGGCCCCUCCCCUCCGGACACGCCAGCGCCCGGUCGCCGGCCCCGGCCAUGGAUCCCUACAAGGACCGGCCGACGAGCGAGGCAAACUCUGGCUACUGGACCACCAACUCCGGUGCGCCCGUCUGGAACAACAACAACGCCCUCACCGUCGGACAGUGAGGUCGGUCUCCAUUGUCUAUACCAUGAUUGGGGACGUCUGCCUGUACAUUGUUGGCAAUGAUGAAUAUGGUGAGCUUGCUCGGUCAGAAGGGCAGAGCGAUUGAGCAGAUAGGGAGGCAGCCGUGCUGCGAUAAGGUGGGGCUGAAGAAGGGGCCGUGGACAGAGGAGGAGGACCAGAAGCUCGUCGUCUUCCUCCUCACCCUGUUGAUCCUGCUAUGUGUAUGGAUGUGUUUAUGUGGAUUUGGUCUAAUCUGUCUCCUCCUGUUGAUCUACUGGUCCAUGCUCUAGUUCUAAUUCAUGCCUAUGAACUGGUUACUAUGGAUUUGGUGCUGCUCUAGAUUCUUUCUGCACUUAUAGUUAUGCUAUUGCACUGUAUACAUGUGUAGUCAGUAAUUAGUGCUACUGCUUGAACUCAAAAUUUCUUUUACAAAGAAUAAAAAUGAUGAGCAUUUCUCCAGCCAAUGUCUGCAGUAGUUGCUGUUGUGUAGUCAUCGGCUGGACCUAUGCAUUUCAUCAAAAAUUGCAAUGAUGUUUGUUGCCUAAGAAACUAGCGAAUUAUAGAGGCCUGAGAUUCUUCUUUUGUUGUACUUGUACAUGUACCAGUGUUCUUGGCACUGUGACCUGAAGCAAUUAGUUGGCCAAUUGGAGUCUUGGCAUGCUCUGUUGCUCUCCUAGUUGUUAACCUAUGUGCAGUAGUACGUAGGAAUAGAGGUAUGCUAAAUCUAGCAUUUUCAAGUAUGUUGUGUUGCUGUGACUGCCCUCAGUUUAAUAAGUCUGGCAUAAGAUGUAUUUAUUUAGACGAAGUAUCCGCUUUCCCUGACAUAAUAUGUUCAUGUUCACGACAGGCUACCUGCAAAAUUGCUGGACGCAACAUCAAUGUAGCUCUGAUCCAGAACCUGGUUCUUGGAUGCAACACGCAUUGUCCUGGACAGGUAUAGCCCCGGUCAUACCAUAAUAUGUUAGUGUUCAGUCAUGUAUACAUCUCCAUGUUGCAAGCCUACCGUACUUGAUAGGAUCAGUACUUAUUAACUACUCAUAUGUGCUUGUAGAGAAGAAUACAAUUAUUAUGUAACUAGUCCAGAUUUUUAACAUUUGAUGUGCUUCCAAGGGACACUCGUCUCUACUCUUCUAUAGAAUCCACACUUUGUUCUGGAAGCAAGUCAGUUGUACCAUGCUGUUACAUCACAACAAGGUGUCAUUUUAUGUACUGUUGUUGAUGCUCCCUAAAGUCUAGAUGUAGAUGUACUGCUGUUGUUGAUGCUCUAGCUGUAGCCUGUACUACUGAUGUUUUGCUAAUGUAGUGUUAGUUUCGCUGCUGCUAGCUGUUGGCUGCUACUAGUUAGUACUUAGUAGUUACUGCUGGCAGUGCUAGUAGCUGCUGCUGCUUCUAUUGCUUGUGCAAUUGUGCUAGUAGCCAGUAGAUGUUCAUUGCAUGACCUGCACUAGUAGCUAGUAGAUGUGCUCGUACACGUACGCUAGUAUUGUUGGUGUGUUGAAUGUCUUAGUAGAACAUCAUCAGGUUGAUGUGUUGUAGUCAAGUUUUGGAAGUUUUCCCAUGCCAUGCUUAGUGUUUACUGAACUGAAGUAUUUGGGCAUUUAUGUGCACUGUUCAAGAACUCGGCCGAGUUACCAUUUAAAUGCCCAUUUAAUCGCUACUCAGUGCCUAACUGAGGCGAAUAGCACAUACUCGGUUCAUUAAAUGGUCAAGCCGAUUAACUGGUAUUUAAUCGGUUGUCAGACGAUUAACUGGUUGUCAAACCGAUUAAUCGGUGAUGGGUCAAGUAACUGAAGCGGCAUCCAUAAAAAAGGGGGUAACCGAAGCGGCAAUCCAAGCGACCAGGCCAUUAUUUGGCCCCGUAACCUCCGGCGCUGCAUCCUCCCUCUCCCACAUCGCAGCUCUCCUUCCUCUCCUUCCUCUCCUGACUCCUCAUGAGUCACGACCAUGGCUUCUCCUCGCCGACCCUAGCCACCGCCGGCGAUCGCCCUGCUCCCGUUGUCGGCCCUAGCCUCCUUCUCUGACCCCCAUCCCCUCCCAUCCUCUUCUCCCUGUCUCUCCUCCAGCCCCUACCUGCAGGCUGCAGCAGCGGUGAGCCGGCGACAUAGGACAGGCAGCAGCAGCAACCUAGGCCAGGCAGCAGUGCCGGUGACCUAGGCCAAGCAGCAGCGCCGUCAACCCCUCGAACCAGGUCCCCAUGGCUUCACCAACCAACAAGGUACAUGUCUGCUAAGAUUCAUCUCAAGGUUUUUAAUCUCUGCUAUGAUCUCCAUCUAGUUUGGCAACAAAAUUUGCAGGGGUCUAUGGUAGGUUCCACCGCUGCAAGUUCUCAAACUCUCAAGACAAAUUCAGAUAACAUGGGUUGGGAGUUCGCAACCUUGAUUUAUCCUCUAGAUUUAUCGCGAGUGAAGUGCAAGUUGUGUGGAAAAGAGAUGUUUGGAGGGAUCAAUAGGAUGAAGCAACAUAUUGCUCAGAUUAGGGGGCAAGUCACACCCUGCACGGUGGCUAACGCGGAUCAGCAAAAGAGGUGUAGGGAAGCUUGUGAGGCAUCAUGACCAAACCGUCCAGAUCAGUAUCUAACGUUGUUGAGGUGGCUGCUGCUGUGACCGAAGAUCAGAAGAAGCCUGGAGAUGUGCACAAUAGUUUUAGUUGAUGUUGCCACCAUGUUUUGGUGCAUGUGUAUUUCUUUUUGAUUGUUUGCACCCUUGAUGGAUCGUGCAAACGUGUAUGUGCUGUUGUGAGUUUCAUUGAGUGAUUUCUGGAUUUGAUCAUUUAAUUGAGAGAAUUAUUGAUUGUUAGCUGUUGAAAUGUGUAAAAGAAAUAUGUGAAUGAAAAGGCUGAAUGUUCUAUUGGAUCGAAUAA